rnacentral:misc_RNA from 1 species
GGCUUCAAUUUCUGGAAAAUAGCCUCAUUCAGUCCAAAAAGGAGGCAGUUGAUGGAAGAGCUAUGGAGUUCUGAAUGAGACCCACCCUAACUACUCGAGGUUGUCUUAAUAACUCUUUGUCAGCACCAAAGCAAAAAGCCUGGAGGUCAAAAUCAUGUUCUGAAGAGAGACCUUUUGCAAACUCUGGAAGAUCUACAUGUUCAAGUGCCCUUCCACAAUUCAUCCCUAGAAGCAACCUGCUGACUUCCUUGAAAAGAUGAGGCUUGAGGUUGGCACAGAGGAGCUGAUGAAGGGACUCAUACCCACAAAUUGAACCGUCUUUAGAGAUAGAAAUCUCUUCCACAUGGUUAUUUUCUUCUUGAUUUCUCUCCAUUUUAAGGUUCAGAGGCUUCUCCGAUAACAAGAUGAGAAUCUGAGCUUAUGAUGAUGGUGUCUUAUGAUUGGUGACUUAAUUGAUUUUGUCAUGGUCAUUGACUCCCUUGCAAGAUUCAUCUUCUUCUUAAUCAACACCGAUUACAACAUCUUCUACCACCAUUUUACAAUAGAUUGCCGAGAUUAGGGAAAAAAAAAUUUGCACCAAGCGAAAUAGGAAAUUGAGGACAACAAUGAAUUAAGCACGAGAACAUGAGGUGAACAAUGAGGAGAGGAAAAUAAAAGAGGAGUGGCAAAAUUAGGGUUAAUUUCAAUUGAGAAGAGAAUAAUAGAGAUGAGAUGAUUUCUUGAAAUUAUCGACAAAACGACGUCGAUAAAUGGAGAUUCUGAAAGCUGAAACGACACGUGUCAAUUCUAAACAAUGUACAACCGACACUUGUCAGUUCCUACCUGCCUGUCUGCCUUGCCUUUGUUGAACAGCAGGUGAAAGAAAAGAAUCCCGCUUUCCAGUUCUAACAAACAAAACAAACUGCACGCGCGCACACAUUUUGCUCAAGCCAAAUCAACAGAGAACCCACUAAAUUUUUCAUAAAAUUAAACAAAUUUCUUUGAUCGAAGCUGCUGAUUCUGUCAAUUUUCCUCGUUUCGUGAUAGAAAUGGCGAGAAACGAAGGAGGAGGAAGUGGAGAGUCCGCGCCUCGGUUAUCGUCGAGCUCCAGAUUAAGAACAGGGCCAGACCCCUUUUUGGUUGCGUGUAGAUGCUUCAGCUUCGUAACUGCUCUCACUGCCAUUCUCUGCAUUGCCGUUAACGUUCUUUCUGCCGUUCGGUCCUUUAGGGACGGAUCCGAUGUAUGCUUUCUUUCUUAUACGCUUUGAAAUUUCAUAGUUAUAUGUGUGCAUAGGUGAUGUAUUGAUUGUGAAUUGAUCGUUUCUUGUAGGUAUUCGAUGGGAUAUUUCGGUGUUACGCGGUGGUGAUUGCGUUUAUUGUGGUGGUUGCCGAGACGGAGUGGGGAUUUAUCACCAAGUUCUGGAAGGUGUUGGAGUAUUGGGCUGGUAGGGGUAUGCUGCAGAUCUUGUAUGUUUUAUGUUUGAGGAAGAACUGCCUUCUAUUUUUUUUCUUUACUUGUAUUGCACACACAAACAAACACAUUCUUAUUGGAGAUGAUGGAGAGAUAAAGAGAGAUUCAUGAACAAUAUUAAUUUAAUUUUAAAGGAAUUGUUACUCUAUUCAGUGUUGCAGUCAUGACAAGA